rnacentral:rRNA from 1 species
GACGAACGCUGGCGGCGUGCUUAACACAUGCAAGUCGAACGAUGAAGCUAGAGCUUGCUCUGGUGGAUUAGUGGCGAACGGGUGAGUAACACGUGAGUAACCUGCCCCGAACUCUGGGAUAACUGCUGGAAACGGUAGCUAAUACCGGAUAUGACCAAUGAAGGCAUCUUCUGUUGGUGGAAAGAAUUUCGGUUCGGGAUGGACUCGCGGCCUAUCAGCUUGUUGGUGAGGUAACGGCUCACCAAGGCGACGACGGGUAGCCGGCCUGAGAGGGUGAUUGGCCACACUGGGACUGAGACACGGCCCAGACUCCUACGGGUGGCAGCAGUGGGGAAUAUUGCACAAUGGGCGCAAGCCUGAUGCAGCAACGCCGCGUGAGGGACGACGGCCUUCGGGUUGUAAACCUCUUUUAGUAGGGAAGAAGCGAAAGUGACGGUACCUGCAGAAAAAGCACCGGCUAACUACGUGCCAGCCGCCGCCGUAA